ACACAGUCGUGGGUGAACAGAGAGUACAGGAGGGGACUAAGAACACACCCCGGUGGGGACCCUAUGUUAAGGGUCAGCGUGGUGGAGGUGAUGUUGCCUACCCUCACCACCUGGAGUCAGAUCGUCAGGAAGUCCAGUAUCCAGUUGCAGAGGGAGGUGUUCAGACCCAUAGUCUUAAACUUGGUGAUGAGCUUGGAGGGGAUAAUGGUGAUGAACAGCAUUCUCACAUAAGUAUUCCUUUUAUCUGGGUGGGUGAGGGCCAUGUGGAGAGCAGGAAUGAUUGUGGUCAUUAUAAAAUAUGUGGAGAUUACAGAGAGGUUGAAAAUUACCAUGAAUAUGCCUGCCAGCUGAUCUGCACAUGUGCUGAGAUUGGCCUUGGAAUACUGCCAGGGCAUUGGUGGUGUUGACCUGAUUAACACCAAUAUAAAAUCGUUUUUCAAAGUGCGUCCACUUAUAUCAGUGCAUAUUCUAUAAAAUAAGAUGAAUCCAGAAAAUUAGCAAUUAUUGUUUGUUAACCAAAUUCGACACUCAUUGACCACCAAAAUUCCUCACUUUAUUGGUUUAUUGUCGUGGACAAAUUAUGGUCGGAGUAAAACCUCUUACUCCGCCACUUCCGCUGUCUGUUGUAACAGAACGGCCUGGAAGUGGGAGGAAUUUGCUGGAACACCGAACGAAGCUCAACGACAGCACAGAAAGAACAACUCACGUUUAUUUUUUUUUACGGGGGUUCUUCAAGUGACUCAUGGCGGCAAGUGAUGCCGACUCGACCAACCUGCUACCCUUGAUGGGCUCUCUUUACACGGACAGAAGAAAACACACUAUGGAAUCAUCCAAAUCACCCAGAAGCUCCAAACACCAUCCUUCCCGAUCAAGGUCACACUCCAGGGACCGAAAACGCAAAUCAAGUGACAAAAAGCACAGACGAAGUCGGAGCAGGAGCAAAGAGCGUGCUAAAGCACGAAGAGACACUGAACUGAAGACGCUGCUGACAUAGCAAAAUUAUAUGCCUACUACUCGGACAGGUAACUAUCAGCCAUUCAAACUUAUACUUGCCUCCUAGAAAAUAAUUGCAAAUAAAGGAAAUUAACAUGAGCCUUUUCCUGGGUUCAAUUGCCUAUUACUGGGUUCAAUUCAAGCUCAAGUCUGCUGGCUGUAACCUUAUUAAUCCAAAUUCAUUCUGAGCCCACCAUUGAAAUCUUCCUGGCUGCAUGCACUUGUAGAUUGGGGAGGGAAUAAAGUCCUGAACUAAAACAUAUGUAUUAAAGCUGUCUCAGAGGUGAUUAUCCAUGAUAAUCUACAUUGAGUUUUGUACUAUAUAAGGUAUUUAAUUUAUGUGCCUUCCAUAAUAUGAUUGAAACAAAACUAAGUAGAAGUGGCUGUAGGUGGUAGAUUUGACCUACAAGUUGGAGUAUGUGUCUUGGUACAUUGGAGUGCAUUUCAUUAUCAAAUUUAUCUCCAGCGGUCUAAGGCAUUGCAUAUCAGUGCUAGGUGUCACUACAGACCAUGGUUCGAUUCCAGGCUGUAUUACAAC
rnacentral:lncRNA from 1 species